GGAGAGGGGAAACGACGGAAGGAGAGAUGAAGUUGGGUUGCAGAGCUGGAGGGGGUGGGACUUCCCCGGUGGGCGGGAGAGUGGGGCGAAGGAGCCGCACUGGAGGAAGGUUGGUGGGAAGCGUGGGGUGCGGGUCCAGGGGUGUGGCUGGGUGCUGAGGAGUCAAAGGAACCCAGGGGGAGGAAGACAGACCUCUGGAAAAAAGAACACCAGACUUCUGCAGAAUUCUCCAGUACCUGAAUGGCCUGGUCAUCCUUUUCACCCCCUACAUCAGAAAAACUGCACAAAACCAAAGGAGAAGUGGGUAGCUGCUACCCAAGUCUUGGCUGCCCUUGCUUGGUCAUGCUCCAGUUGCCUGUGGCAGAGCUAAUCUUCCUCUGAACUGGGCUGAACUCCAAAUUCUGACUCUUGCAUUAGUGGACAGUGAAGGAGUCCUCUGCCUGGCCUGGCUCUUCCCACACAGCCUCUGCCUAUGCCCCCUGCCUAGCCUGGCACAGCUUAAUUCUCAGUGUACCAACCUCACCUGGGUUUUCUGGCCUCUAGGCCUUGCCCAUGUCCUCCAAAAUGAUCUCACAUACUUGGCUGCAACUUUUUUACUUAUGGCUUGCUCUGUUUGUUGUGUGGUCACCAGCCCUAAAAGGCUAACAGACCUGCUGCCAAACUGAAUUCUUCUCCAAAUGUUCUCUGUGUAUGAUGUUUGAAUACAUGUGUAUUUGUUACUAAAGAAAAGAAAUGAUUCAUUAAGUAAGAAAAAUCCCAUUAGCCCUCUGAAGAUAAUGCCUCAUACACACUUUCAAAUGCCUAAAUUAAAUCACAGCAUACUUCAAAUACCAUCCAAGAAGAGAUUUGGCAGGGGUGGGGCCAAUGUGUAAUGAAAGUAACACUUACAAUUAGCUACUUUAAACAACAAAAAAAAUAAACUGAUUCAGAAGACCUGGAGGAUUACAUCACAGCUUAAUAAAUCAUGCAUCAAUAUGCAAUUUUCUUGCAAAAAUAUUCCUUCUUGAGGUUUUCUGAGAAUUUAUUGUCACAAGUUUUGCUCUCCUGAAAAUUCAUUUUCUCAUAAAAUGUAAAGAAUAUGUCUUGCAAAAAGUAAAUAUAUGGCUA
rnacentral:lncRNA from 1 species